CUGCCCAUCAGAAGGGGAUAACACUUGGAAACAGGUGCUAAUACCGUAUAACACUAUUUUCCGCAUGGAAGAAAGUUGAAAGGCGCUUUUGCGUCACUGAUGGAUGGACCCGCGGUGCAUUAGCUAGUUGGUGAGGUAACGGCUCACCAAGGCCACGAUGCAUAGCCGACCUGAGAGGGUGAUCGGCCACACUGGGACUGAGACACGGCCCAGACUCCUACGGGAGGCAGCAGUAGGGAAUCUUCGGCAAUGGACGAAAGUCUGACCGAGCAACGCCGCGUGAGUGAAGAAGGUUUUCGGAUCGUAAAACUCUGUUGUUAGAGAAGAACAAGGAUGAGAGUAGAACGUUCAUCCCUUGACGGUAUCUAACCAGAAAGCCACGGCUAACUACGUGCCAGCAGCCGCGGUAAUACGUAGGUGGCAAGCGUUGUCCGGAUUUAUUGGGCGUAAAGCGAGCGCAGGCGGUUUCUUAAGUCUGAUGUGAAGGCCCCCGGCUCAACCGGGGAGGGUCAUUGGAAACUGGGAGACUUGAGUGCAGAAGAGGAGAGUGGAAUUCCAUGUGUAGCGGUGAAAUGCGUAGAUAUAUGGAGGAACACCAGUGGCGAAGGCGGCUCUCUGGUCUGUAACUGACGCUGAGGCUCGAAAGCGUGGGGAGCGAACAGGAUUAGAUACCCUGGUAGUCCACGCCGUAAAC
rnacentral:rRNA from 1 species